ACUUAAGCAUAUCAAUAAGCGGAGGAAAAGAAACUAACAAGGAUUCCCCUAGUAACUGCGAGUGAAGCGGGAAAAGCUCAAAUUUAAAAUCUGGCGGUCUUUGACCGUCCGAGUUGUAGUCUGGAGAAGUGCUUUCCGCGCUGGACCGUGUACAAGUCUCUUGGAACAGAGCGUCAUAGAGGGUGAGAAUCCCGUCUUUGACACGGACUACCAGUGCUUUGUGAUGCGCUCUCAAAGAGUCGAGUUGUUUGGGAAUGCAGCUCAAAAUGGGUGGUAAAUUCCAUCUAAAGCUAAAUAUUGGCGAGAGACCGAUAGCGAACAAGUACCGUGAGGGAAAGAUGAAAAGCACUUUGGAAAGAGAGUUAAACAGUACGUGAAAUUGCUGAAAGGGAAACGCUUGAAGUCAGUCGCGUUGGCCAGGACUCAGCCUUGCUUUUGCUUGGUGCACUUUCUGGUUGACGGGCCAGCAUCGAUUUUGACCGCUGGAAAAAGGUUGGGGGAAUGUGGCACCUUCGGGUGUGUUAUAGCCCUCAGUCACAUACGGUGGUUGGGAUCGAGGACCGCAGCACGCCUUCAUGGCCGGGGUUCGCCCACGUUCGUGCUUAGGAUGCUGGCGUAAUGGCUUUAAACGACCCGUCUUGAAACACGGACCAAGGAGUCUAACAUGCCUGCGAGUGUUUGGGUGGAAAACCCGAGCGCGUAAUGAAAGUGAAAGUUGAGAUCCCUGUCGCGGGGAGCAUCGACGCCCGGACCUGAACUUCGGUGAUGGCUCUGCGGUAGAGCAUGUAUGUUGGGACCCGAAAGAUGGUGAACUAUGCCUGAAUAGGGUGAAGCCAGAGGAAACUCUGGUGGAGGCUCGUAGCGAUUCUGACGUGCAAAUCGAUCGUCAAAUUUGGGUAUAGGGGCGAAAGACUAAUCGAACCAUCUAGUAGCUGGUUCCUGCCGAAGUUUCCCUCAGGA
rnacentral:rRNA from 2 species